rnacentral:lncRNA from 1 species
GCCAGUUGCAGGUCAGCUGCAGAGAAGGACGACAACUCUUGAGACAUUUCUUAGUGACCAAGAGCUUGCGAAGAUACCACAGCCAAGAUGCUAAGGAUUUGGGCCAUUCUCCUCUUCGGCAGCCUGCUGACCCCCUCUCAAGGGCUAGAUGGUGCUGCUCAAGUUUGUGCCAGGGUGAAUCCAAAUGUAUUAGGAAAAAUUAUAGAUGACUUGUUCCACAGAGAUGACAUUCUCAGAAGUGUGCUAGGACUCGUGUUAGCUGGCAAUGGGGGGCCCCUCAACCUGGGAAAUCUGCUGGGCACUGGCAUCACAGGGUAAGUCGGGGGCAGCCCAGGUGUCAGUGAACAAACCACGGGCUGAUUUCUGGCCAAUGGGGGAAGGGGGAAACUGGCAGAACCAGCUUCCAACGAGGAGCACAAAGAUGUUGCAAAAGGCAGUGCUGAUGUCCGGCCCCAUUCUGGAUAUGAGCAGUCCCCUCCCCUCCC